rnacentral:rRNA from 1 species
AGCAGCCGCGGUAAUUCCAGCUCCAAUAGCGUAUAUUAAAGUUGUUGCAGUUAAAAAGCUCGUAGUUGAAUUUCGGGAUUGACGUGAUGGUCAUGCCUUAAGGGGUAUGAACUGUCACUGUUGAUUUCUCACCUUCUGGAGAAACUUGAUGUCCUUUAUUGGGUGUCUUGCGGAUCCAGGACCUUUACCUUGAAAAAAUUGAGUGUUUAAAGCAGGCAUUUUUGCUCGAAUACAUUAGCAUGGAAUAAUAGAAUAGGACGGCAUGGUUCUAUUUUGUGGUUUCUAGGAUCACCGUAAUGAUUAAUAGGGAUAGUUGGGGGCAUUAGUAUUCAAUUGUCAGAGGUGAAAUUCUUGGAUUUAUGAAAGAUGAACAACAGCGAAAGCAUUCACCACGGACAUUUUC